UCAUCAAAAACUACCUUGACCAAAAACUUUAACCUGAGCUUCAGACUAUCUUCUUCUUUGUUUAGUUGACCAUGAAAUUGGGGUCAAUACUUUAAUUUGACAUUAAAAUUAGAAAGAUCAUAUCAUAGGGAACAUGUGUACUAAGUUUCAAAUUGAUUGGACUUCAACUUCAUCAAAAACUACCUCGACCAAAAACUUUAACCUGAAGCGGGACGAACGAACGGACGAACGAACGGAUGCACAGACCAGAAAACAUAAUGCCCUUUUACUAUCGUAGGUGGGGCAUAAAUACUAUAAAUGAUAUAUUGAUACUUAAAAAAAAAAGGACAACACAUGUACAAAUAAGCCGACGACUCCUUAUUCGAGUUAUUGACCUUUAAUGGUGAUUUUUCUGAUUGUUUACGCGUUUGCCUAAUCCUGAAAGGUAAAAGAGAUAAAAUAACUGAAAUAAGCAAAAUUGAUCAACAAGAUAAUAUCUACAAAUAAGUUAUAUGACCGAACAGCCGACUCUUGGGUCUUUUGCUGUUACCGUAUAAUCCAGUUAUUUAUUUCCUUAGUCUGUGACAAAAAACACCAGUAUAAGAUAUCGAGUUAUGGGAUAAUAUUUUUUGCAUAAUGAUUAAAUCUUAGUAAAUAUAAUGCCUAUCACUAUCAAUGGAAUAUUGUUACCCAACGAUUAAUACCAAGACUCAUCUGGUCUUCCAGGAGGUAUUUUUGCCGGGGAGGUGUUUUUCAGUUUGAUAGUCUUGUUUUGAAACAUAUAACACGCAUGUGCAUGUAGGCAGUAACAAAAAUAGCUAUAUGAUUACUAUAGACAUUGUCAAAUUUUAUUCAAUUAAAAUUAAACUCGGUUAAUCUUAACAUGUUGAAAAUCAAUUAAAUAGAGUCAUCCAAUGAAUCAAUAUCAUAUAUGAUUUAUGCCUGAAAUAGCAAGUAGGGGAUGAAAUUACACUUUUACAAAAAUUGGGUCAUGC
rnacentral:lncRNA from 1 species